CGCCUCGCCUAUCCAGUGGGGCACAAAGAAAUCUCAGUCACUCCAUAAACUUUGUGCUUCCAGUUAUGCCGCCCCCUCCCCUAGCCUCCACCCCGCCCUUCCAGCUAUUUGGCAGGAAGGUUAGGCCACUGGCAAAAUCCUCUGCGAGAUCCAGCUGAUCACAAAUGCCAGCUGUAUGUCUUGGGGCCAGUUAAGUCCUCUCCUCUGCCCAGGCUCUCAGGAGACCAUUUCAUUGCUCUCAAGGUUCCAAGGAGACCGCUGCGGACGCGGACCAUCCCCCCACUUGGCCAGCACGGAUGGGAUGCUGAACAGCGUCCUAAAAGUGCUCUUUCUCACCUCGAGUUUUCAUUUUAGAUUGUAAAAAUUCCGAAUUUGGAGAGAGGCAGAUAUUUUUCUCCCAUCAGAAAGGAGGACCAUUAGCUAGUUCUUCUGCCACAGGGAAGCAACCAGCGACUAAUAAAAGAUUUGAUCUUGCCAUAAUUUCCCAAGCAGGACUUCCCUGGUGGCACAGUGGUUAAGAAUCAGCCUGCCAAUGCAGGGGACACAGGCUCGAUCGCUGGUCUGGGAAGAUCCCACAUACCACAGAGCAACUAAACCCGUGCGCCACAACUACUGAGCCCACGAGCCACCACUACUGAAGCCUGCAUGCCUAGAGCCUGUGCUCUGCAACAAGAGAAGCCACUGCAAUGCGAAGCCCGCGCACCACAAUGAAGAGCAGCCCCCGCUCGCUGCAACUAGAGAAAGCCCGUCCCCAGCAACAAAAACCCAACACA